AACAAAACAGGAUUAUUUUAUAUAGCUCAGGUGGCCAGAAACUCAGUUCCUUCCUGCCCCUUCUCCUGAGUGCUGCAGUGCAGGUGUGUGCUGCAUUACAGGUGUGUGCUGCAUUGCAGGUGUGUGCUGCUUUACAGGUGUGUGCUGCAUUGCAGGUGUGUGCUGCUUUACAGGUGUGAGCUGCAUUACAG